UACAGAUUUAAAGAGUACUUAAAGUCAAAGAAAUUCCGAAAAAAGGAAUGUAUUGUAUGAUCAUAGCUCGAUUGAACAGAUCGUAAGAAAUUUCCUCGGUGCAUUUUCUGAACACGUUCUAAGGUUUGUACAAAUUAUAGUCAUUUCAUCAUGAGUAGCGGGAUUUUUAAGUAGUUAGUCUGUAGUCUAUAGUAAAUAUAUAGAUUUCUGAACAUUUCUUCGAUGCUGGCAACGCUAGCUUUCUUCUAAAGAAAGAAUGUAAACGGACUGCUGAAGUACUAAAUAAGUUCACACCUCUGAAGGUCAAGAAUUGUGAGUCACACGUUAGUAUUUUAACCAUUAAAGGGAAUUUUAUCAGUGUUUACUCAAAGAAAUUCCAAUAAUAUAUUAUUAUCUUAUAUUUACGCAUAAACACUACCCAGAAAUAAGAAACCGUUGCAAUUUUUACCAAGAGUCGAAGUAAUUUGUUAAAUUACUUAUGUCCAAAUCGGCUGGGACCGUUAUCGCGGGCGGUUCGCUUGUACACUCGUAGCACACAUAUGCAACAACUGCACUCACACAUGGACACUGUGAGCCUUUGAGCUUUGUUUGCAUGGAUAUGUGUAUGCAUAUUUCCACUGGAUUUCCGCUGCUCAAAUGUUAUUGAUGUGGGUGACGGGUGGCAAAGUGGUAGAGGCUAAAGUGAUUGAAAAUUGAUCCGCCGAGGGACAUUCAACAUAAACAUACUCCAGCUCCCAUGUGUCGCCAAACCGUGUUGCAUGUGCAACACCCAUAAUGCAUGGUACUUGUAUGGCUAUAUGUAAACAUGCUACAGAGCUACAUAUAUAUUCUAAAGCUAAUAUAAUAAGCAUUAGGUUUGGUUAUGAAGGAGAUGAGCACUCUUAAUGGGAUUAGAAACAGCUUACCUAUUUCUAACUCUUUUAGCUCUUCUAUUCAAUAAAGAGUAUUUUUAAUUCACAUAAAAUGGAGUUUAAGUAAUAACUGCUCUUUUAUAAAACGUCACUUUCGCGCCUGUUGUAAGCGGUAAAUGUCUACAUAAACAAAAGUAAUAAAAGUGUUUUGGGUAAGAAUCGGGUAAAGACAAAAGUAAUAAAAUGGGCUAAGAUUACGGUAAAUUUACAAAUAUAUAGC